UUCAUUGCCAGUUCCCUAGUCUGCAGCAAAUGUGCCACGUCAAGACUGGAAAACACAGCCCUUGAGUGUGUCUCAGUCAGUGCGGCAGGACGCAGGGGGAGCCGAAGGCAGCCCCUGGCGCAGGAAGGGAGGCUCUUCCCCACGACGGGGAGAGGAGUCCGAGUCCACGGAUGGAAGCUUCUGGAGAUCCUGCUCCGUCGCCCCAGUGUUCAGACUACCUGUUCAGGACAAUGCCGUUGUACAGUAGUCUGCACAUUGGUUAGACUGGGCAAGGGACAGCAACGCCACCGACGGCUGGGGACCAAAUGGGCUGUUUCCAAGGCGAAGACCUGGGUUUGCUCCUUUGUUGAAACUCAUAUCCAGUGUUUUUCUUCACAGGUUUUGCACACUAGGGACCAAGAAUCCCUCGGGGGCUCUGCCGGGAAAGGACCGCUCCAGGGAAGACCGGCGGGUAAGGCCUUGGUGACGGCUCACCUGGUCUGUGGCCACGGGGACCUAGGGAUCAUGGAAUCUAUUCCAGAGGAAACAAACCAACAGUGAGCAUCUUCAACGCCAUCUGCCCUGGGCUGUCUUGGUAAGUAUUAAAACUGAACACGGUAUAUGCUCACAGAGGGGAAAAUGCUGGGAGGGUCUGUCCAAACUGUGGUUCACAGAAAUUUCAUAGCUGUUUUCCAUUUUGGAGUGUGGGUGAUUGACAAACUAGUCGAGGUGCUGGGUUGAAAUAAUUUUUUCAGCCAUCUCAGAGAAAGGAAAUCCAGCCUGAGCUUCAACACCACCACUCUGCAAUUAAUUUGGAAGAGGAUCACCAUCACGUAAAAUCGUCUACUAAAAUUGUUAAACCUGCUUUUCUUAAGCCAUAGAUCUCAAAAUCAAAGCAAGUUUGUUUAGAGUGGGACCACGUUUCACACUGAUGGCUUUCCUGCAAUUAGUCAAUAGGCUUAAUAUCCUUCCUGCCUGGCGUGGCGCUUUCACCCCAGACAACAUGUUUAUGUUUUUAAAAGACCAAAAUAUACUAUCUGCCCCCACAUCUCGCCUGCAGACCACCCAGGCACUUCACUCUGUGGGAAAGAGUUUAGGCAUAAAAAUCCUAAUGAAAGAAGUUACCCCCCCCCUCACGCAACCUUUUGUUGAAAUCGUAAGCUGUUAUAGGAAAUGAAAAGAAAGUACAACUUGGUAAAAUAAAAAAAAGUCAUUCGUCCAAAAACGUCCCUGCCCACUAAAGAGAAGCCAACAUUUUCAAUGACUCCAUAAGGGAUCUGCGUGUUGUUUUUUUUUUUUAAAAAAAAAACAAAAACAAAAACCUCAUUUUACUCUAAGGGGAAAACAGCCCACCCAUCAUAAUCACGUCCAAAUAAUAACUAAAAGACCAUCACUCAGAAAUCCCAGCUUAAAAUAACUGGAAGGUCAGGCUUUAACCUGAGACAGGAAAUUCCCGAGUUGAGACGGAGACUUUCGUACUUUGGUGUCCUGCAAGUUACGUAGAUAUAAAUAAUUGACUCUUUUUCAAAGGUCUCUUAUUUAGAAUUUGUAUCAGUUUUAAUAAAUAGGGAUAAUGAAAUAAAUUAAGAAACAUAGUUCAAUUUUCAUUUUCAAUUUUCUGACUUCUUGGGAUGGCCAGUUUACUGGAGUUACUUUGGCUUAUCUUUAUUGCAUAAGACUUAGAAGAUAAUUCUUUUCUUGCAUCUUUUUCUUAAGAAAUGAGAGACAAAAAGGAAAUAAAGUGAAAUGGUCAUACAAAUAAUUACACGGCCUGCUAAUAAUGUGAUAACUCUUUUAUAUUUUGGCUAGGAUUUUAGGUAAUAAUAAUCUAAUAUAUACCCUUAUAGUUUGAGAAACAGGAAAAAACAUCUUACUUGUUUUUCCCUUAGUUUUCAUAUUUUUAACAAGUUUUGGGGUAGGUUCAACGUAAUUAUGAAAUAUGCAUAUGCCACACCUGCUCUAGGACUGUUUUAAAAUCUAUCGGAAACAUAAAUUGUCUAAAAGCCUUACGAGAAGUCAUUUUUCUCAUUUUUUAGCACGAUGUUUUCCACCUGAAAAAAAAAGUUAUGAUAUUUCAAACUAAGAUAACUUAGAUAUCUUGGUUUAAUAAAACUAUUUCUCAUUGAAGGAUAACGUAUAAACUCACAAAUAUUUCUUUUUGUUUUUUCAGGUUGCAUGCAUCAUUCCUUUAAUUGAGCAGAGUAAACUGGAUCAAAUUAUUUAUGGGAGAGAGGGAAAGCUAUACAGAAUUAGAGUAAUUUUUAAUUUAUACCAGGAUAUCCUUUGUGAGUGAAUCACUCUAUAAUUACUUUCUGUUGCACUGAAAGAAAGUAACAACAGCAAAAUGAUACUUUAAGGUACUCAUUUUUUUGCAUACUCUAACCUUAUAUAUUUAAAUAGCAGCUAAGUUUAUUGAUGUUUUUGAUUCUGUCAAGACAAAAAAAAUAUUCUUCUGAUCAGCAGUGAUGGCCAGAAACAGAAUCAAACACUGAUUUCUUAAAAUUAAGCAAAUGCAGAGGAAAUUACACUCAUCAGUUCUUUGUUAAAACUUUAGUCACUACGUAAAAAUGUAGAAUUGUUAAAAGUGUCGUUUUUUUUUUUUUCAGUCUCUGAAAAGUAUUUUGCUCCCCAUAAAAUUUGUUUGCUAUUUUCUCAGAAUUUUAAAAUUAAAGGUAAAUAACAAACUAUUUGUUUUCUUUAAAAUUCUUUGAAAAAUAUCCUAACUAUAUACUCCUUGGACAAUAAUGUAGCUUUUGUUGUUGUUGUUGCUGUUGUUUUAAAAUCUCUUAUUGGAAUUUUCACUGUCUGGAUAUUUUGCUUUUCAAAGGGGAUGGAAGUUGUUACUUAUGUGAAUUGAUAAUUUGUGUUAAAAAAGCUAGAAUUAUUUUCAACUUGCCAGAAUUAUAUUUUAUAUCUACACAUUUAACACCAUUAAUUCUUUCUUAUACAAAUUACAAAGAAAAUUUCCAAAGGGUCUGGUUUUAGUUUUUCGAAAUGAAACGAAUUUUCCUUUCCUGUGUUUAAGGUGCUAUCUGUAACUGUACUGCACAGUGUGAGCUGCACUGUGGGUAAAGCUCUCCAGUUUGCACCUUUGAUUCGUGGCAUGACCCUGGAGUUAAUUAAGAGGUGCAUAACUUAAUCCCACAACUGCCUUUCAUUUAGCUUUCACAACCAUACUUAGAAAGUUUGCAUUUAAAAGGAAAAUGAGAAAUUUAAAUAAAUUCCUGUUAUUUACUAUGGUAUUGGUAAAAAAUAUAUUCCCUUGAAAAAGCCCACUAUCAAAGCAUCAGAUACCAAAGUGCAUUGGUUGGGCUGCCAAAUACAUUAGGCUCAUGAAUUAUUUUGAGAAUGGCUGCUGUUACCCUGUAGAUGACAAUUUUCUUUUUCACAGGCGAGGUUAUGGUACUUAUCUACUACGAGAAACAUGUAUAAACAUGGCCUUUAUCUUUAACUGCAGCAUUAAAAUAUGCAAAGUUUUCGUGAAGAGGAAAAACAUCUGGUUCAAUUACUCUGAACUCUGACUGCAUUUGGGCCAGUUAUAAUAGGAAUUGGAUUUAAGAAUAAACCUUGUGUUUAAUCUUUUCUUCCUCCUCCUUAAAAUUUUAAUGUGAGUUUUCUGUUAUUACACCAAUUAUUUAUGUUAGCACAUUUGGAACAAAUGUAUAUAAGUGUACUUUCUGAAUAAAGUCAAAAGUCUAACUUGUUUUUAGUUCCAUAAUGUUUUAAUGUUUAAUUCUAUUGUGUGUUUUUCUCCCUCUCCCCUUACCCUCCCAAAUCACCCAAUCUGGAAAACAGGCUGAUUGUGUCUGUCCAUGAGCAAAGGACACCUGAAGGAACCAAGGGCCUGGCUGGACAGAGUUGUCACGUGUCUGCCUGUCUACACUUGCUGUGCAGAACAUCCGCUCACCUGUACAGCAGGCACAGACAGGCAGUCACAUGACAACCCAGCCUGAGUGACCACCAGCCAUUGAGACCAAGCAGCCCUCACACCAUAGCAUCUACACCAAGAGCUGCAACCAAAGUGAGGGGCUCGGGCCUGGGGUUUUAAUCUGUUGGCUUAAUACUUAACUCGUAUGUAUUAUAUUAUUAUUAUUAUUAUUAUUUUAUUUUGAUUCAUAUAUUAAAACACACCAAAAGUAAAGCAAGUCGUGCCUAUGAAAUAUAAUAAAACCCAUUUCUGAAAAUG